CCUACGGGAGGCAGCAGUGAGGAAUAUUGGUCAAUGGACGAGAGUCUGAACCAGCCAAGUAGCGUGAAGGAUGACUGCCCUAUGGGUUGUAAACUUCUUUUAUAUGGGAAUAAAAUGUUCCACGUGUGGGAUUUUGUAUGUACCAUAUGAAUAAGGAUCGGCUAACUCCGUGCCAGCAGCCGCGGUAAUACGGAGGAUCCGAGCGUUAUCCGGAUUUAUUGGGUUUAUAGGGAGCGUAGGUGGAUUGUUAAGUCAGUUGUGAAAGUUUGCGGCUCAACCGUAAAAUUGCAGUUGAAACUGGCAGUCUUGAGUACAGUAGAGGUGGGCGGAAUUCGUGGUGUAGCGGUGAAAUGCUUAGAUAUCACGAAGAACUCCGAUUGCGAAGGCAGUUCACUGGACUGCAACUGACACUGAGGCUCGAAAGUGUGGGUAUCAAACAGGAUUAGAUACCCCAGUAGUC
rnacentral:rRNA from 1 species